rnacentral:miRNA from 1 species
AAAUGCAAAAUAGGUGUGUGUGUGUGUGUGUGUGUGUGUGUGUGUGUAUAUAUAUAUAUAUAUAUAUACACACACACACACACACACACACACACACUAGUGCAAAUG